rnacentral:rRNA from 1 species
UGGUGAAUAUUGGACAAUGGUCGAAAGCCUUAUCCAGCCAUGCCGCGUGUGUGAAGAAGGUCUUCGGAUUGUAAAGCACUUUAAGUUGGGAGGAAGGGCAGUAAGCGAAUACCUUGCUGUUUUGACGUUACCGACAGAAUAAGUACCGGCUAACUCUGUGCCAGCAGCCGCGGUAAUACAGAGGGUGCAAGCGUUAAUCGGAAUUACUGGGCGUAAAGCGCGCGUAGGUGGUUCGAUAAGUUGAAUGUGAAAGCCCCGGGCUCAACCUGGGAACUGCAUCCAAAACAGGCGAGCUAGAGUAGGGCAGAGGGUGGUGAAAUUUCCUGUGUAGCGGUGAAAUGCGUAGAUAGAGGAAGGAACACCAGUGGCGAAGGCGACCACCAGGGCUCAUACUGACACUGAGGUGCGAAAGCGUGGGGAGCAAACAGG